GACGAACGCUGGCGGCGUGCUUAACACAUGCAAGUCGAACGGAAAGGCCCUGCUUUUGUGGGGUGCUCGAGUGGCGAACGGGUGAGUAACACGUGAGUAACCUGCCCUUGACUUUGGGAUAACUUCAGGAAACUGGGGCUAAUACCGGAUAGGAUCUCCUGCUGCAUGGUGGGGGUUGGAAAGUUUCGGCUGUUGGGGCUGGACUCGCGGCUUAUCAGCUUGUUGGUGGGGUAGUGGCUUACGAAGGCUUUGACGGGUAGCCGGCGUGGGAGGGUGGACGGCGACAUUGGGACUGAGGUACGGCCCAGACUGGUACGGGAGGCAGCAGUGGAGAGUAUUGCACAGUGAGCGCAAGCCUGAUGCAGCAACGCCGCGUGCGGGAUGCCGGCCUUCGGGUUGUGAACCGCUUUCGCCUGUGACGAAGCGUGAGUGACGGUAAUGAGUAAAGAAGCACCGGCUAACUACGUG
rnacentral:rRNA from 1 species